CCUCGGAGAAGGAACUCGGCAAAUUGACACCGUAACUUCGGAAGAAGGUGUGCCUUUAGUAGGUGAACCAUUUACUUGGGGAGCCCAAUGAGGCCGCAGAGAAUCGGUGGCUGCAACUGUUUAUUAAAAACACAGCACUCUGCAAAGACGAAAGUCGACGUAUAGGGUGUGACUCCUGCCCGGUGCUGGAAGAUUAAAUGAUGGGGUGCAAGCUCUUGACUGAAGUCCCAGUAAACGGCGGCCGUAACGAUAACGGUCCUAAGGUAGCGAAAUUCCUUGUCGGGUAAGUUCCGACCUGCACGAAUGGAGUAAUGAUGGCCACACUGUCUCCUCCAGAGACUCAGCGAAGUUGAAAUGUUUGUGAUGAUGCAAUCUCCCCGCGGAAAGACGGAAAGACCCCAUGAACCUUUACUGUAGCUUUACAUUGGACUUUGAACAGAUCUGUGUAGGAUAGGUGGGAGGCUUUGAAACCAGGACGCUAGUUUUGGUGGAGCCAACGUUGAAAUACCACCCUGGUGUGUUUGAGGUUCUAACCUUGGCCCGUUAUCCGGGUCGGGGACAGUGUAUGGUGGGCAGUUUGACUGGGGCGGUCUCCUCCCAAAGUGUAACGGAGGAGUUCGAAGGUACGCUAAAUACGGUCGGAAAUCGUGUUGAUAGUGCAUUGGCAUAAGCGUGCUUGACUGCGAGACUGACAAGUCGAGCAGGUACGAAAGUAGGACAAAGUGAUCCGGUGGUUCUGUAUGGAAGGGCCAUCGCUCAACGGAUAAAAGGUACUCUGGGGAUAACAGGCUGAUACCGCCCAAGAGUUCAUAUCGACGGCGGUGUUUGGCACCUCGAUGUCGGCUCAUCUCAUCCUGGGGCUGUAGCCGGUCCCAAGGGUAUGGCUGUUCGCCAUUUAAAGAGGUACGUGAGCUGGGUUUAAAACGUCGUGAGACAGUUUGGUCCCUAUCUUCCGUGGGCGCUGCAAGAUUGAGAGAGCCUGCUCCUAGUACGAGAGGACCGGAGUGGACGCACCUCUGGUGUAUCGGUUGUCACGCCAGUGGCAUUGCCGAGUAGCUAAGUGCGGAAGAGAUAACCGCUGAAAGCAUCUAAGCGGGAAACUCGUCUCAAGAUGAGUCUUGCCGGGGCCUUGAGCCCCCUGAAGAGUCGUUCGAGACCAGGACGUUGAUAGGCUGGGUGUGGAAGCGCAGUAAUGCGUUAAGCUAACCAGUACUAAUUGCUCGUGAGGCUUGACCC
rnacentral:rRNA from 1 species